AUUUGCUGCAGUCUUAAUCUAUUUUAUUUCCUUUUUUGUGUUUUACAGAUCUCUUUUGCUUGCUUUAUCCUGGACUGUGUAAUUUUCAAUUUGCUGCUCAUCAUCAUGGUCAUUGGGAAUUACCGGCAGAUCCACCGGAUCGAACAAAGAUUCACUAAGAAGACACCAUAGGCAUCACGGUGGUACCCUGGACUUGCUUUUAUCUGGGGCAGGAGUUCAUCAGAGUUGGGUACUAUGUGAACAAUGACUACGAUGAUGAGCAGCUCGGAGAAGAACCACCUCCAAGGGUUUUGAUCGACACAGUUCAGCGGCAUGUCUUGGCUGACAAGCCUCGCGUGACAAUAUUAGCGAAAAUGGUGGGCAGCAACAGCAGCCACCUAACUCACCUUCACCUCAAAAUCAUGCCGAUGAUGAUCCUCCAUCCAUCCGACACUCCAAGCAGUGAAUGUUUUCAGCAGCAUGAUCACUUCCUGGAGCAUUGCAAGAAUGAAGGCACUUUUGAGCACAAAAGCCAUUGCCAUUGGAGAGCCAAUUAAGUGUUGCAAUGCCAUAUGCAUGUCCGCUCGGUUGUUCGGGAAUGAUACAGAGGCGAAAAAGCCAAGAAGAAGAUGAAGACGAAGGGACAACGCCUUGGGGGGGAACGUACGAUGACGACUACUGUUCCAGUUGAGCAUACCAGAUGCCUUGGAUCUUCACAUCCUUGGGAGUCUUGGCGCCCAGGUCGGUGUCCGAUGGCUGCAGGCUCUCGAACACGCCGAUCACCUCUCCGGUCUCGGGCUUGCUCUUGGUCACGCUCAGCGUGAUAGACCCGGUGGACGACGAGGUGUUCUUGAUGUUCUCCUUGCUCAGCUCCUCCUCGUCUCCCCUGCCUCCGGCCGGCAGAGCCACGGCG